GCAGCUGUAAGAAAGAAAGAGGAAAAAUAUCUGAACAGGUGACUGUGUGCUACUAAAACACAACUACAAAGGCAUUCUCGUAUGUAUUCCAAGCCUCGUGCUUGUUUAAGGAUGGGAUGUAGCAUUUUUUCCUAACUGUAAAUGUAACACCAAAUAACCCAUUUUUCAUGCAAAUAGAGGCAAGAAAAAAAACAGACAUACUUAAUAGAUCAGUAAGUCAAUUAAUCACUACCGUCUGGGAAAAUGUGGCCAAGGCAAACACCGACAAUGAGGGGGCUAUCAGCUGAUCUGAUGACUGAGGUCCAAGUGUGAGGCUGGAGGUCUGUUGAACCUGGCUGCAUACUCCUGGGACUCAAUCAUCAUCCAUAAAACAUUAGGGCACGAGGGCCGCGAGUAAAUCUCUCGGCGACCCAUUAUUUGUUUUGGAGUUAGGGAGGCGUAUUCUGUAAGCGUGUUACCUGUGUCGCCGUUUGGAAGAAAGCGAGAGACCAUCUCGCUGAAAUGCUUGUUUGCAGAGACCGUGUUGCUUUAAGCACCUCUGAUGAAUUACAUUCACACUGAAAGGUCUGAUCAGCGGAGAGAGACCUGAUAAAUACACUGCUGUAACAUCUGCCUGCUAAAGAUUAGCCACAGCCCCCUCUCCCUGUGAUCAACAGCGUCCCACAGACUGUAUCCAUCUCUCUAAAUGCGCAACAUUCUGACAAAUGAAAAUGAAUGGUGGCUAAGAUGGUGCUCUGAAGGGCCCCGGUGUUGUGGGCAUUCCUGGAGAAGCGAACGUGCUUUUCCUGAAGGGUAGGGAUCUCCACCGGAUCGCUAUAUGGGACCUAAACAUCUGGCUGUGGGAGCUGAAAUCAAACUGGACAGCGUAAAAUUGACUUCAUAAGUUGUGUCUAGGGAGACUAAUGGUUUGGAUGGGGAGGAGAUGUUGGGAGAAUUUAUCCUGCUCCUGUUCUGGGCAGGAACCAUCCACAAGCUGCAUGUGGAAGACAUAAGCCAGGUACUCAUAGCCCAAGUGGAUAAAGUGGAAUGCAAGGGAGAGAAGGAGCAGGGAGGAAUGUCAUUGAUCAUAACAGCAAGAAAAGCCAAGUUUAGAAGAGACAGUGAUACCAUUUCACUUUUUUUCUUUUGUUAGUCAAACCAUCAUUGCGAGGAUGAAACCGUGUGCCCACUUCGCCCAACAGAGCCAAAUACACAAAUACAAAGCAAACUAAGGGGUGAAAGAUUGUUCUGAGUUUUGUUAUUACCUCAGGUAUUUGGUAUGCCCCUACCUCUGUCCAUCUGGUUUGCAUUAGAGUCCUGAUAAUGAUGGGUUUAAGUGUCUGUUUUUGUUUGUUUUGCUUCCCAUAGUUUGUGUCAGGAAAAGGCAUUUGUUUCAUUAAGGGGUCAAUUGCAGGCAGUAAAUGGCUAAUGAAGUAGUGAUGGUCAUUCAGCAAGGCUGCUUGGUUAAUUGUUUUUACUUUCUGUCUGAGAAAGUGGAGAGGAAAAAGUAGUAAAAAGAAAAAAAUGGCUGCCUUGCGCUAUAAUUUAGAAUGAGUGAUGCUCAUGUGAAGCUCUGCUGGUUCCUGAGCUGCCGGCCAUCAGUGUCGAGUCGCGAGGUGCUGGAGCUUGGACUGAAACAUUCAGCUGACUGACUGAGAAGUAAAAGAGAAAUAAAACUGUGAGAUUCAAUUAGCUGCCAAUUUAUCAAUUCUAAACUUAAAGAAAAAUCCAGGCCGGUUUUAUUUUAUUGCAAUUAAUUUUGUGCUGGCCUCACUUUGGGGUUAACUUUUAAUUGCACUUUACCUGCUAAUUUAUCAGCAAAUCACAUCUUCCUGACAGGAAAUGGGAGUUGCAGCCUAAAAGUCAUAUUAAUUUUGAUCAUAUAGAUGAUCUGCUUACACUUAGGACACUUUGGAGACCAUUGUUGUUGUUUUUUUCGAUAAUGAUUGAAAAAACAACAGGAUGAUUAAAACAUUUUGAGAAACAUUUUGACUUCGGUAUUUAGAACAAAGCCAUGUACCCUGAUUCCAGACUUUGAUUCCAGACACUAAGCUAAGCAGCUGCUUUUUCGAAAAGACAACAAUCUCCUAAAUGUCAAAAAAAAAAAAAACCAAAACUCCUGCUGCUCAAAUGAGAUUUUUUUAAACUGUCUUCUAGAAACAGUUAAUUGAUUGGAUUUGGCUUUUUAAAAAUAUGACCUAUUUAUUUGGUCCAUAAAAGUGGGCCAAAUAAAUAAAGCUGUGCUUCAACCGGCUCUGAGGCUGCAGAUUAAUUUGAAUUAAAAAAACCCUAAAAAAUAGUUGCAGCCCUUGAAUAUAUUAUUUCUAAAUGUCAGAAAAACUCUUUGCUCUUGGAACAUAAGACUAUUGUCUUUUCUAACUCGAUGUUCUCCGGCAGCAGCAUUGUUGCUUUUGCUGUCAGGCCACACCACAUCUAACUGAAAAUGCAGCUGACUUCAAGUGCUGCCAUUAACCAGUCCUCAGUCUCUAAUGAAACCCAUUAGCUCUAACCGGGGAGUCUUGGCUUGCAUUAUUUCCACCCCAUUUUUCCUCAGAUUGCUUCCUUGCUAUCUCAUCACAGACAGAAUCCAUCUUUGGUCUUCAUCAUUCUUUUUUCUUGUUUUUUUUUCUUCCCUUUUUGGAAACACUCCUUCCUGGGCUGUGUUACAGCAUGCAGAUAAACACACACAACGGGGUUUGCUGUCUAAACGCCAGAUUUCUCAGCUGUCAGGAGGCUACCAGCUCUGCUCAGCAGCUGGGCCUAUGACAGAUCCAACACAAACUCACACUUCAGGAUCCUCUUUCGUAGCAUCUCACCAGAGCGAGCUGACGUUCAAAGGGAGUGUCCACUUGGCAGGUUUCACUCGUGCUUUGCUUCACUUUUUCCCCCCUUCUUCUUCCCUCCUGUCUUUAACCUUGGUCUUGGCACCAAUCUUGGUGUUCACACUGAUCUACUGAAAUGUCCCAUCAUCGCUCACUCACUCGAGUCUAGCGGCUGGAAGGGUUUUCACAGGUAUAUCUGACACACCCUGUCCCUGAAUCACACUUGGCAGUGGGGAGAUUACAGCCUUUUGUCACCUUGUCUGUUAGAGCUCUGCUCUGGCUGACAGGAGAUGGAUGUGUCAGGUGAGCAAUCCCAUUCAGAAAAGAUAGGAGGAGGAGGAGGAGGAAGGGUGAUGCCCCAUAAAAAGAGUGAAGAUUUUUUUAUAUUGCAGCACAGCUGAAGUUGGGCUUGAUUUGAUCGGAUCCAAAAGCCAGAACUCGACACUAGCAGUUGCAGGAAUUGUGGUUUCCCAAAGAAAUCGUGCAGGUGACAACAGGGGAUAUUUUUAUAUUGCUGUGUAUGUGAGGAGCAGGAUGUCCACCUGUAGAGAACUGUCAUCAGCUCCAGCAACAGCUCACUGUCAGACACGCUUGAUUUACAUUGCUAAUCUUCCCCUGUCUAUACCCCGUUUUCCCUUCUCCAGACUGCGACUGCUGUCUUUUUCCCUCUCCAGGAGAAACCCGUCACUGCACGUGCCAAUGCAGCUGUAAUCAACGGUGACGUGAGCAUAUCGAGGUCUAGUAUGCGAUUGUGUAUCAAUGUUCAUGUGGGUGGUAAGACUCUGGAGUGACAGCCCCAGCUUGGCCCUUGGCCCCCAGCUCUGCCAAUGCUGUGCAACCAGCAGCUGAUUUAUGGCCCCUGGAGCCCUGCUGAGCCUCUUCCUCUUUGGCCCCUGAUGUUUUCCAAGCAAGCCCAGAGAAAGGUUGCUCUGUCCAUCCAGGCUCCAGGAGGAGAGCGUCUUCUCAGAGGAGCCCGAUACGCCCCUCAGACUUGUGGUGUCAAAGGUCAGGCACAUGACAGGCUCAGGGUG